CUUCGGUCAUAUGUAAAAUAAAUGCAAAUGAUAUUAACUAAAUAUUUAUAAGAAAAUGUUUACAAUAAAAAGAUGAUAACAAAAUUCAUGAUCUAUUCUCCAUCUCUUUUAUUGAUGGUAUCCAAGGUGUUCAUCCAACUUCUACAUAUUUUCUCUCUUAAACACCAGUAAAAUUUUCCAUGAGCUUAAAACCUUGGGUGAAGUGGAGCCAUAUUUGAACCACUGGUAGAAUACUAACAAGUUUUCAAAGCUCAUGCAUCGGUUUUCCACUCUGCCAGCGGCUCCUGAGUUCAGCAUCUUCACGACUGCACAUGCAUUAUUGUCUUUCUUUUCUUCAUAAUAGAGACCCUGCUGGGCUAGCAGUGAUACUGAUAUGCAGUCUAGAAAUAGCUACCAAUGCUGAGUUUUUGCCAGGCCCUACUGACCAUUUGGAUAUCUUCUUUGCAGGAGCUUAUAUUCAUUCUGACCAUUCUUGAAAUUAAUAGCUUGUGUUUUAUUCUUGGGUAUUGAAAUAGCUCUCCAUGUGUCUUAGACUCGGGAAAGUUUUUUUUUUUUUCUUUCCUGUCUUCCCUUUGAACUGUUUUCUUGUCUUGGCUGUUUUAUUUUGGUCUAUGACCCAUUUAAACUUAACACUCCUACAUGGAAGAAGCAGGUGCCAGCUUCAUUCUUUCACAUGUGAAUAUUCUCUUGUAACAGCACCAUUUACUGUUGCAGCCUGUCUGUAUUAGUCCCACAUUGCGGGGCCAUAUGUCAUAGACUGGUGUUUGUGGGGCUGCAAUUGGGACUAACCAAAUAACCCCUGGUCCAUUCCUGAGUGGGGGAGUGUGGAUGAGGGAAGGCUAUCUAUAGGCAUUAAAGGAAAGACAGAGACAUAGGAUCAUAUCAGGAGGGCAAAAUCAGUUAAUACUGAAUGUGUCCAGUUUAUUCAUGCAUUAUCUUAAGUAACCAACCAAAAUUGGGGACAAUGGCAGAAGACUUCUAUUAUCAUGUAUAAGGGGCAAAUAGCAAUUACUUCCCUUAAUCCUAAAGACACUCCAUAGUUGCAGGUACUACUUGGCCAUCAGGUGCAUAGCUGCACAUAUCACCUAGCCUUCAGGAUGAGUAUAAACUCACCUGGACCUAGGUCUAUUGUUAUUUAGAUAGGAGCCAUUCAUCAUGGAGGCCAUGGCAUCCUGCAACCAUUAAGCUAAUAUCUUAAAGACAAUAGGAAUGACUUGAGCUCUCUGAACUCGUGGCAGAAGGGGAUAGAUUUCCAAUACACAGGCCCCAACAGUUUAUGUGAAAGAUGAUCUAAGAGUCUUAAUUCCCUUCUUAAAAGUUACUCUGUCAUGAACAGGAACAUGGAAUCUUAAUUGUGGAUUCUCUAUUCUAUUCGAUUGUUCUGUGCAUCACUGUGUCAAAAUUAUGCAAUGACAGUCUUGGUUACUGUAACUGUAAUAACUAUGGAAGUCAAGAAAUAUGAGGGUCUGAUUUAUUUCCAUAGUUCAAGACUACUUAGGCUAUUCAAAGUUCCUUGAAUUUUCAUGAGUGUUUGGUGACAGUGCCAAGCUUUGCAAAGAAGCAACUUAGAAUUCAGGUAAUGUUUAUGUGGCAUUCAAGAGGAAAUUGAAAUUCUCAGUAAGAAUUAAGAAGUAUUUAAAUAUGAAAUCAUGAACAUGGAGAUAUGAAUAUAAACCACAACCAACUACCACUUUAUCCACCAAGUUAAAAAGACAAGAUGUCAUGUUUUGAUGAGGAGAGUUGGAGCAGCUGAACUUCAUGUAAAGUGCUAGGGAAUGCAAAGGGUGCUGGCAUUGGACAUCUCGGGAAAGCUGAGAACUCACAUAGCAUUUACCAUAAUUCAGCUUCUUUAUCUCUGUGAAAUGUGACCUGUGCAAACUAGUGAUUCAGGAGUAGCAUUUGACCCUAAGCUGGAAAUGAUUCAAACUUCAAAACUGAUGUUUUCAAGUUAAAUUUUGAGAUUAUUGAGUUUCACAUAGCACUAGAAUGAAGACAAAUCUCCCAGCAUUUUAGGUGAAGUGGAAGCAUUUAUGAUAAGAAAGUGUAGCAGGCACAGGAGUCUGUACUAUAUGAUUCCACCUAUAGGAAAUCUAAAAGCACACAAAACCAACCUAGAACACCGGAAGUUAGUGUGCUACAGACUGACCAGCCCUCUUCGAAAUCCUGAAAUGUUCUGAGUGUUGAUCUAAUGCCAUGGUAAACUGUCCAGUGGCUCAACACAUACAAACCUUGCUUGAGACAUAUAUUUAUUUAAUAUAUUGUAUACACAUAUCUUCAGGCUGUGUGAUUAAAGUGUACUUGAUACAUAUGUGAAUUUUAUGUUUAAACUUGAGCCUCAUACUCAAGUUACAUCUGCAUAUGCAAAUAUUCCAACAUACAACAACAAAAACUAGCAAACAAACAAAAAAUACAAAGCACUUCCCAUUCCAUAUAGUUUGGGUAAUACUCGAUCUGUGGCUAACAUAGAGGAAUAUCAGGAAGUCCAAGGGGCUCUCAGGAGGAUGGCAAGAUUCUAUGCCAUGAUUUGAGUAGCAGUGACAUAGUGAUGGCUCCAUGAUGAUGCACUGACAUGCCUAAAGUGGUGCAAUUUUACUAUGUAGAGAAAUUGAAUGUCAGAAAGGCAGCUUCCUGUGCUUUUGUUCAAUAAAAACUGAGCUCACAGACUAGAAAGAUAGGUGGUUAGUAACAACUGUUGCUCUUGUAGAGGACAGGAGUUCAAUUCCCAGCACCUGUGUCUGGAAGCUUAUAACCAUCUUUAUGACUCCUGAUCUAGCGACUCUGAGGUCCUCUUCUGGCCUCAGCAGGCGCCUUCACUCAUGUAUACACACACACACACACACACACACACACACACACACACACACACACACACACACGCUUACUUUAAUAACUUUGAGGAAAAAGCUGAGCCCAACUAACAGCACAGCACAGGCACUGUUGGUGCAGCCAGGCUUUGGAAGAUUGGAGAAAGAACGUUGUUGGCAGGCAAGGAUGUAUUCACUUAAGGUGGUACAAAAUGGAAAAUGCUGACACUUUGGGGGCAAAGUAAAUAGUCAAGGGUAAAUAUAUAAUGCUUCAGAGACAAAUCUGUAUAUUUAAAACAGAAUACUCUCUAUAUAUAUCCCAAAAUUGUCUUUUCCAAAUGGUCUAGAUUGCAGCUGAGGGGGAAAAAGAACUAAUUCAACUUGAAAAUGUGAAGAUUGUGGAGAAUGAAGGCAGGAGAAGAAAACUAUGAAAGACAGAAACUCUCCACAUGCAACUUUGAACAUGGUGUUUGUUCUAUAAUGUAAACUUUCUAUAGUUCAAGAACUAAAGGUGAUCUGUUAGAAUUGAUAACAUUAAUCAUUUUAAUUUUUGUCUAAUAAAUUAUAGAGGUAAAUUAUCUCAGUCUCACACAUUGUAAAAUCGCAGAAUGAACAGGACUCUGCACUUACAAUAUUUUAAGAUUACAAUCCCUGUACGCCUAAUUGAAGAACAUGAUUCACAGUCACCUAUAUUCUUCCAGUGACAGACACUUAGCACUCAUCCUUCCAGUUGUGUCCUAGAAAGGCCUGAGGAGGGACAUGACUCCUGGGGUAUUUUUCUGCCCUGGAAGUGAUUUGUUCCAUGCCUCCUGGGUUGUAUGAAGACCCAAUCCAUGAAAAUUAGAGAAGUAAUCAUGUUCUUUCCAUCCAAGUAUCCUGAAGACAAGGUCCUCCGACCAUCAAAAGAGACUGAAACAGAAUCAAAACCAUCUGAGCCUGCAAGUGCUGAAGGAACCAAGCCAAGCCAGGUCAUGCUGGGGUUACCUGAGCCCUGAAGAAAGGAAUUUGUUGGAGACAUUCCAUUUAGGACUGAAUGUUCCAAGCUCUCACUCUCUGUGCAAUGUGUGGCUGUGGGUCUCUGUCAUCCGUUCCCAUCUGUUGCAGAAGGAAGCCUCUCUGAUGAUGGCUGAGCAAGACACUCAUCUAACCUUCUAUUGUUGAUCAUGAUGGCGUCCAUGGUGUCAAACAGAGGUGUAGGCACAGAACUGGACAUCCGUGACUUCAUGGUAGUCAGAAUGCUAUCACUCAAUGGGUCUAUCAACUGCUGAACUAAAUCAGGGCACAGGAAAAGGUUCAAAUGUCUCUUUAUUCUAAAAUCAUAAGAUCCUUCAGACUUCCCUGUGGGGGGAUUCAGUCACAUUGUUCACACAUAUAUUUUGAAACAAACAAACAAGAAAAGCAGCACUGAGUACCAUCUCUCAACAUCAACAACCAGGAGCUGCUGAGAUUGAAUUUCAGAUCGUGAAAUAAAAUGACCCAAAUAUCUACUGUGGAUUCAGCCUGAGAAUGACAUGAGAAUGGCUUUGUUACUGCUCCAGGAUGUAUCAAUCAGAUGUAUAUGCAGACAAGUAGAAGGCGGACCAAGAGGAAUAUAGAACCUACAUGGGAUUUCAAACAACUGCAGCAAAGAGUGAAGUUCUUGACUCUUGGAUGAUGAUAACCAUCACCAUCACCCUCAUAUCUUCACCACCGAGAACACUGUUGUUGAGACAGGGUCUCAUGUAACCCAUACCAGCUUUAACCUUGCAACUGAAACCCUAACUAAGACACCCCUAAUCAAAGAAACUCCUCUUUGCAACAAAGACCAUCACAGAAGACUACAACCAAGCAAAAUGCAGAGCUGUGGAGCCCAAUCCCAAUGGAUAUAUCUACAAAAUACUCCUACAUCUAAGGCUGAGUGAAACAUCAGAUAAUCACAGGGAGUUUGUUGUGAGACUGUGUCUUCUAGGGAUGUCAGAAGCUACAGCAAUAGAGUCUCACCAUGAGCUUAACAAGGAUGAAAACAAUAGGCAUGCCACAUGGAGAAAGAUCCUGAAGCUUCAACCCUACACAAAGAACUACAGGUUGACCAGUUGACCUGCUCUACUGCAGAUGGUUCUGAAGCAGCCUCACACCAAUCAUUUCCACUGUAUUGUUCAAAGCAUUCUUCCUCCUUGCCUAGCACAUGUCAGGAUGCCAUCUUCCAAUGAUGCCAAAGCUCAAAUGCCCCUCACCUCUGGAGGAAGAUAACUCCAGAACUGAGAUGAAAGUCCAUGUGCCCCUGGAGUCACAGAAACUCAACUUGAAUGACAGAUGAUCACAACUGCUUCAGUUUUGGUAUCUCAGCACCAAAGAAAUGUAAAUAUAGCAAAGCAACUAUGAGAAAUCUGGAUUACAAGAGAGGACUCCAGACUUCUCCACAUGGCAGAGUUCACACUGCUCUGGGACAAAGUAGAGAGGCUUUGCAGUGUGUGAGCUAGUGAGGGGCUCAAUGCUACACUUAAGAACAUGUUGCAUGCAUUGUUAUUUCACACCAGGAAGAGCCACAGAUCAAAUUAGUGGAGAGGAGAGGCAGAUGCCAAAGUGUCAUUGUGUGAAGAUAAUGCACUUCUUAUUAGAGGAAAAAGCAGUGUGGACACAGGAGUUAUUAAUUGGAGAGAAAGGAAAUUUUUCCUCUAAAGAGGAAAGGGAUUCCUUUCCUUCCUUCUUCCAAUCCUUCCUUCCUUGUUUUCUUUAUAAAAACAUCCACUUACCAGCAGGAUUCCUAAGCAAGUGUGCUUACUUAAGGCAACCACAUAUAAGAGAAGACAUUAUGCAAUUUGGAGAUGGUCUUGAAGAAAUGAGGAUUCGAAACAGGACCAGAAAUGUGACCAAGUCUGUUAUGGGAAUCAAGUGACCAAGGGAAUCAGUGGCUCCCUUUUGCCCCUCUCAUCUGUGCAGCUGGCUAGUCUCAGAUACCCAGGGAGCCUGAGAAUCUGUCCUGCAAAUAAUCCAUGCAGCGUGGACAGUGGGGGACUGUAACAGAACACAUUAGAACGUGGAACCAUAAAGUUUGAGGACAGGCCAACUCCACUGAGCAGAUUCAAUACCACACCUGGUUUGGGACAUGCCUCUCACCCAGAGAGUAGGAAGGGGCGUAUGAAACAGCUGUAGUUCCAGCUGACACUGAAGGCUCCUUGAGCUAGAUAUCCUCCUCGCCAUGCUGCUCUCCAGAGCCUCCCGCUUUGAUUUCACAGCACUACCCAACACAUCAGCAGGCAGUAUCCUGCACUGGAUGGAACUGCAGCAACACUGUCUGUGGUUUCUCCCACAAGAGACCUACUGUGCUGCUGCCUGGAGACAUUAAACAAGACCACAACUUCCUUGUGUGGACUUGUCAGGAUGCCUCUUUGUACAUCGAGAAAAAUAUAACUCCCCAGAAAUCAAAGGCAAUCUCUGAAAACCCCACCGUUGAUAAAGAAACACUGUUGCCUCUCCAAGGACCUGCGCUCAUCCCUGCCUCAUUCCGGAAAAAAAAAAAAAAAAAAAAAAAAAAAAAAAAAA